rnacentral:lncRNA from 1 species
GGCCAGGGGCUGGGGAGGGGACACUUUGGGGACACUGUCAUACCUGGCUUGGUGGCACUGUGCGAGGAGAAAGAGGAGGAGGAGGAGGACGAUGAGGAAGGGCUGAGGCAGGCGCCGGGUUUUGGGGGUCCGGGGGCUCCAUCAGGGUCCUGGGGGGGUCUCCGGGGAGGGGUCCUGAGGGGGUGAGAGCAGCCAGUGCCCGGCCCGUGUCCCCCUGUCCCAUCCCAUUCCCGAUCCCAUCCCAGCGCCCCAAUUCCCAGUGCCCAUUUCCCAAUCCCAAAUCCCAAACCCCAGUUCCCAAUCCCUGAACACAAUUCCCAGUCCCCAAUUCCCAGUUCUCAGUCCCCAUUUCCCAAUCCCAAUUCCCAAUGCCCAAUUCCCAUUCCCAGUCCCAAACUCCAAUUCCCACUCCCCAAACCUCAAACCCCACUCCCAUUUCCCAGUACCUGUCCCAUUUCCCAUUUCCCAGUCCCCAUUCCCAGCCUCCACUCCCCAUUUCCCAGUCCCUGUCCCAGUCCCCAUUCCCAUUUCCCAAUUCCCCUUUCCCUGUACCUGUCCCGGCUCCUCUCCCUCUCUCUCUCCAUCCACACCUCCAGGUUCUUGGGGCGCCGCCGGCAAUUGGGGACCCCCCUGCAGGGACGGGGCGGGGGGGGGGAGGGUCAGACCCCCUCAAACCCCCCAGAGCCCUCCCAGAGCCCCCAGACCCCUCACCUGCUGCCCUCAGGGCUGUCACCUCUCGGGGUCUGGCUCUGCUGCUCCUGGGGGGGGACAAAGGGGGAUCAGGAUUUGGGGGAAAACCCCAAAAUUUUGGGGGGGAUCAGAGAUUUUGGGGGUGACAUCACCUCGGGCGAGGGCUCCUCCUCCAGCUGCUCCGGGUCACUGUCACCGGCUGUGGGGACAUUGGGGUGACAGGGGGGGUCCCCAAAAGGUGACAGAGGGUCCUAGGGGGGUUUUGGGGACCCCGGGUAGGAUUUUGGGGACCCUCUCCCCUCACCUGCCCCGCCGUGCAUCUCCCUGUGCUGCCGGGACAGCUCCGAGGACUCAUCCGAGCACUGAAACGGUGCCAAAGGGGGUGCAGGGUUGGGAACACCCCAAAUCCCCCCGAAAUUCCCCCAA